UUGAUUUUUAGUGAGAGCCGUCAACAUGUAGCUAGCUCCCCUUCCUCUCCCCUUUUCUGUGUCCCAAAUGUGUCAUUUGCACUCCGACCUGUGAAAGUUUUCGCUAGCUAGCUUUCGCUACUAAAAGGUAGCGAACACUGAGGUAUAAGGGUCAAGGGCGGGGUUUGUUAAAAACAGGACAACGUGCGUGGAUCACUGCUAUGAAGGACCAGGAAACACUGCUCUAUGGCUAGACUACUACAGGGGCAAUGAAUAAGUGUGGUGCCAUGACUACAAUGGUUCAAGCCCAGGAUGACAAAAAGAAAUGGGUAUGAAAUUGAACUGGCAGCUGGAAGGAUCCCUUGUACCAUCUCCUGCCAUUGUGUCCUUAAACACCCCUUCUUGUCACAAGAAGACUCAAGAUCUCUACACCCACACUGCUGUUGUCUCUACUGCAGCACUGUACAUGGAUGGAUUCCUUGUAUUGUACUACACUAUAUUUGGAUACUAUUUAAUUGUGCUAUUGCAAAUUAUUCUGCAUCUUCAGAACAAAAACUUUUAGUUCAUUACUAUGCCUAUUAUUACUGAGUAUUAAUGUGAAUUACUUGUUUAUUGUGAAAGAUUUAGUCUCAAAUGAUCACAAUCACAUUUUAACAUGUUUACUUUGUCAACAAAUGAGAGAGCUGCAAUGAGAGCUACAAUUAUACCUUUGAAGAUGGGUUAAAUGGAAUACUAACUGCAAUCUCACCACUAUCCAGGCCAGGUAGCCCACAUCUUCUGAAGUGUCUGUCUGGCUAGCUCCGCCUCCUCCAUACACUGACUAGGCUACAUGUAACGCCGCUUUUCCAUUUUUCUGAGUAGACUUUGUUUACUUUUCUGCUUGUAACGUGCAUUUGACAUGUUGAGUUCUCUGGGGGAGAUAGCCAUCCCCCCCGGAUGUAGAGUGGGGACAGGCGUUUUAGUUUGUUAUUAUUAGUUUGUUAUUGUUUACAUUCCAAAAAAAAAGGUCUAUACCUAAAAUAUACCUCAUGACUAUA